CGAACGCUGGCGGCGUGCUUAACACAUGCAAGUCGAACGGAAAGGCCCUGCUUUUGUGGGGUGCUCGAGUGGCGAACGGGUGAGUAACACGUGAGUAACCUGCCCUUGACUUUGGGAUAACUUCAGGAAACUGGGGCUAAUACCGGAUAGGAGCUCCUGCUGCAUGGUGGGGGUUGGAAAGUUUCGGCGGUUGGGGAUGGACUCGCGGCUUAUCAGCUUGUUGGUGGGGUAGUGGCUUACCAAGGCUUUGACGGGUAGCCGGCCUGAGAGGGUGACCGGCCACAUUGGGACUGAGAUACGGCCCAGACUCCUACGGGAGGCAGCAGUGGGGAAUAGUGCACAAUGGGCGGAAGCCUGAUGCAGCAACGCCGCGUGCGGGAUGACGGCCUUCGGGUUGUAAACCGCUUUCGCCUGUGACGAAGCGUGAGUGACGGUAAUGGGUAAAGAAGCACCGGCUAACUACGUG
rnacentral:rRNA from 1 species